rnacentral:rRNA from 1 species
GACUUCCUACGGGGGGCAGCAGUCGGGAAUAUUGCGCAAUGGAGGAAACUCUGACGCAGUGACGCCGCGUGCAGGAAGAAGGUUUUCGGAUUGUAAACUGCUUUAGAUAGGGAAGAAAAAAAUGACAGUACCUAUAGAAUAAGCUCCGGCUAACUACGUGCCAGCAGCCGCGGUAAUACGGAGGAUGCGAGCGUUAUCCGGAUUUAUUGGGUUUGAAGGGUGCGCAGGCGGAAGAUCAAGUCAGCGGUAAAAUUGAGAGGCUCAACCUCUUCGAGCCGUUGAAACUGGUUUUCUUGAGUGAGUGA